rnacentral:rRNA from 1 species
UCAGGUGGUUAUAGCGUUGGGGUUCCACCUCUUCCCAUUCCGAACAGAGAAGUUAAGCCCAAUUGCGCCGAUGGUACUGCAAUGCAAUGCGGGAGAGUAGGUAUCCGCCUUUU